rnacentral:rRNA from 1 species
AGUGAACGCUGGCGGUAGGCCUAACACAUGCCAGUCGAACGGCAGCACAGUAAGAGCUUGCUCUUACGGGUGGCGAGUGGCGGACGGGUGAGGAAUUCAUCGGAAUCUACUUUUUCGUGGGGGAUAACGUAGGGAAACUUACGCUAAUACCGCAUACGACCUACGGGUGAAAGCAGGGGAUCUUCGGACCUUGCGCGAUUGAAUGAGCCGAUGUCGGAUUAGCUAGUUGGCGGGGUAAAGGCCCACCAAGGCGACGAUCCGUAGCUGGUCUGAGAGGAUGAUCAGCCACACUGGAACUGAGACACGGUCCAGACUCCUACGGGAGGCAGCAGUGGGGAAUAUUGGACAAUGGGCGCAAGCCUGAUCCAGCCAUACCGCGUGGGUGAAGAAGGCCUUCGGGUUGUAAAGCCCUUUUGUUGGGAAAGAAAAGCAGCAGGUUAAUACCCCGCUGUUCUGACGGUACCCAAAGAAUAAGCACCGGCUAACUUCGUG